UACACUCCUGCGGGAGGCAGCAGUGGGGAAUUUUGGACAAUGGGCGAAAGCCUGAUCCAGCAAUGCCGCGUGAGUGAAGAAGGCCUUCGGGUUGUAAAGCUCUUUUGUCAGGGAAGAAACGGUGAGAGCUAAUAUCUUUUGCUAAUGACGGUACCUGAAGAAUAAGCACCGGCUAACUACGUGCCAGCAGCCGCGGUAAUACGUAGGGUGCAAGCGUUAAUCGGAAUUACUGGGCGUAAAGCGUGCGCAGGCGGUUUUGUAAGUCUGAUGUGAAAUCCCCGGGCUCAACCUGGGAAUUGCAUUGGAGACUGCAAGGCUAGAAUCUGGCAGAGGGGGGUAGAAUUCCACGUGUAGCAGUGAAAUGCGUAGAUAUGUGGAGGAACACCGAUGGCGAAGGCAGCCCCCUGGGUCAAGAUUGACGCUCAUGCACGAAAGCGUGGGGAGCAAACAGGAUUAGAAACCCGAGUAGUCCC
rnacentral:rRNA from 1 species